GUUAAGGUGGCAGAGCCUGGUAAAUUGCACAAAACUUAAAACUUUGUCAUCAGAGGUUCAAUUCCUCUCCUUAACA
rnacentral:tRNA from 1 species